AUUUAGUUCUCCUCUGACAUGAGCAGGUACACCAGUACCAGGCGCUCUGCGCAAAGGCAUCCCUGCAUUUACCCCAGCUAAAUUUGAUGCUGCUGGAAGACCAUUUGCAGUACGAUUGAAACCAGUUACAGCAUUUGCUGGACGAGCUAACCCAGUAGAAUUAGAGAGAUUAGUCCUGUUCGUAUUUGCAGCUGGAAGCUGUGAACCAGCAUUUAAACUAUUUGAGUUAGGCACGCCAACUGCUUGUUGAGAACCAGUAAAGUUAGAGUCAAUUCCAUUCAGUUCCUGGGCAACAUGUUCCAUGAUGAAAGGUCGAAA
rnacentral:misc_RNA from 1 species